ACCAAGGCGACAAUGGGUAGCCGGUCUGAGAGGAUGUACGGCCACACUGGGACUGAGAUACGGCCCAGACUCCUACGGGAGGCAGCAGUGGGGAAUAUUGCGCAAUGGGGGAAACCCUGACGCAGCGACGCCGCGUGGAUGAUGAAGGCCCUUGGGUUGUAAACCCCUUUUCUCAGGGAAGAAUAAUGACGGUACCUGAGGAAUAAGUCGUGGCUAACUACGUGCCAGCAGCCGCGGUAAUACGUAGGCGGCAAGCGUUAUCCGGAUUUACUGGGCGUAAAGAGGGCGUAGCGGUUUUUCAAGUCGAUUGUAAAAUCUCCCGGCUUAACUGGGAGGAGUCAUUCGAUACUGUUAGACUAGAGAGCAGCAUGGGGAGGUGGAAUUCCCGGUGUAGUGGUGAAAUGUGUAGAUAUCGGGAGGAACACCAGUGGCGAAGCGGCCUCCUAGCUGUUUCUAACGCUGAGCCCGAAAGCGUGGGGAGCAAACAGGAUCAGAUACCCUGGUAGUCCACGCUGUAAUCGAUGGACACUAGGUAUAGGGAGUAUCGACCCUCUCUGUGCCGAAGCUAACGCAUUAAGUGUCCCGCCUGGGGACUACGGCCGCAAGGCUAAAACUCAAAGGAAUUGACGGGGGCCCGCACAAGCAGCGGAGCGUGUGGUUUAAUUCGAUGCAACACGAAGAACCUUACCAAGGCUUGACAUGUCGGAAGUAGCGACCCGAAAGGGAAGCCACCUGUUGAGUCAGGAACCGUCACAGGUGCUGCAUGGCUGUCGUCAGCUCGUGCUGUGAAGUGUUAGGUUAAGUCCUAUAACGAGCGCAACCCUCGUUGCCAGUUAUUUUCUCUGGCGAGACUGCCCUGCAAAAUGGGGAGGAAGGUGGGGAUGACGUCAAGUCAGCACGGCCCUUAUGCCUUGGGCCACACACACGCUACAAUGGGUGGUACAAUGGGUAGCAAUAGAGCGAUCUGGAGCCAAUCCUAUAAAGCCAUCCUCAGUUCGGAUUGCAGGCUGAAACCCGCCUGCAUGAAGUUGGAGUUGCUAGUAACCGCAGGUCAGCAUACUGCGGUGAAUACGUUCUCGGGCCUUGUACACACCGCCCGUCACGUCAUGAAAGUUGGCAACACCUGAAGUCGAUGGGCUAACUCCGACUUGUCGGAGAGGCAGUCGCCGAGGGUGGGGUUAAUGAUUGGGACG
rnacentral:rRNA from 1 species